rnacentral:rRNA from 1 species
UACGUAGGGGGCGAGCGUUGUCCGGAGUUACUGGGCGUAAAGCGCUUGUAGGCGGUCCACCAAGUUUGGGGUGACAGUUGCCGACUUAAUCGGCAAAGUGCCUCAAAGACUGGCGGACUUGAGGGCCACAGAGGGACAUGGAACUCCAGGUGUAGUGGUGAAAUGCGUAGAUAUCGGAAGGAACACCUGUGGCGAAAGCGGCUCACUGGACCAUUACUGACGCUGAUGCACGAAAGCUAGGGGAGCAAGCAGG